rnacentral:rRNA from 1 species
GACGAACGCUGGCGGCGUGCUUAAUACAUGCAAGUCGAACGGACAGGCCCUGCUUUUGUGGGGUGCUCGAGUGGCGAACGGGUGAGUAUCACGCGUGUAACCCGCCCUUGUCUUUGGGAUAUCUUCAGGAAACUGCGGCUCUUACCCGAUAGGAGCUCCUGCUGCACGGUGGGGGUUGGAGAGUUUCGGCGGUUGUGGCUGGUCUGGCGGCUUAUCCGCUUUAUAGUCGGGUAGUUGCUUACCAAGGCUUAGACGGGUAGCCGACCUAGGAGGCUUGACGGCGACAUUGGGACUGCGAUACGGCCCAGAAGCGUACGGGAGGCAGCAGGGGAGAAUAUUGCACAAUGAGCGGAAGCCUGAUGCAGCGGCGCCGCGUGCGGAAUGACGGCCUUCGGGUUGUGAACCGCUGUCGCCUGAGACGAAGCGUGAGUGACGGUAAUGAGUAAAAAAGCACCGGCUAACUACGUG